UACGGGGGGGGCAAGCGUUGUUCGGAAUUACUGGGCGUAAAGGGCUCGUAGGCGGCCAACUAAGUCGGAUGUGAAAUCCCCAGGCUUAACCUGGGAACUGCAUCCGAUACUGGAUGGCUUGAAUUCGGGAGAGGGAUGCAGAAUUCCAGGUGUGGCGGUGAAAUGCGUAGAUAUCUGGAGGAAUACCGGUGGCGAAGGCGGCAUCCUGGACCGAGAUUGACGCUGAUGAGCGAAAGCUAGGGGAGCAAACGGG
rnacentral:rRNA from 1 species